CAGCCGCCGCGGUAAUACCGGCGGCCCGAGUGGCGGUCACUCUUAUUGGGCUUAAAGCGUCCGUAGCCGGGUUGGGAAGUCCUCCGGGAAAUCUGGCCGCUUAACGGUCAGAAUGCCGGAGGAUACUCCCAGCCUAGGGAGCGGGAGAGGCCGAGGGGAUUCCCGGGGUAGGGGUGCAAUCCUAUAAUCCCGGGAGGACCACCUGUGGCGAAGGCGCUCGGCUGGAACGCGUCCGACGGUGAGGGACGAAGGCCAGGGGAGCAAACCGGAUUAGAUGCCCGGGUAGUCCUGGCGGUAAACGAUGCGGACUUUGUGUCGGACAAGCUAUGAGCUUGUCCGGUGCCGGAGGGAAACCGUUAAGUCCGCCGCCUGGGGAGUACGGCCGCAAGGCUGAAAUUUAAAGGAAUUGGCGGG
rnacentral:rRNA from 1 species